rnacentral:rRNA from 1 species
AGGAAGGUGUUGUGGUUAAUAACCGCAGCAAUUGACGUUACCCGCAGAAGAAGCACCGGCUAACUCCGUGCCAGCAGCCGCGGUAAUACGGAGGGUGCAAGCGUUAAUCGGAAUUACUGGGCGUAAAGCGCACGCAGGCGGUCUGUCAAGUCGGAUGUGAAAUCCCCGGGCUCAACCUGGGAACUGCAUUCGAAACUGGCAGGCUUGAGUCUUGUAGAGGGGGGUAGAAUUCCAGGUGUAGCGGUGAAAUGCGUAGAGAUCUGGAGGAAUACCGGUGGCGAAGGCGGCCCCCUGGACAAAGACUGACGCUCAGGUGCGAAAGCGUGGG